GGUGAACGCUGGCGGCGUGCCUAAUACAUGCAAGUCGAGCGAACGGACGAGAAGCUUGCUUCUCUGAUGUUAGCGGCGGACGGGUGAGUAACACGUGGAUAACCUACCUAUAAGACUGGGAUAACUUCGGGAAACCGGAGCUAAUACCGGAUAAUAUUUUGAACCGCAUGGUUCAAAAGUGAAAGACGGUCUUGCUGUCACUUAUAGAUGGAUCCGCGCUGCAUUAGCUAGUUGGUAAGGUAACGGCUUACCAAGGCAACGAUGCAUAGCCGACCUGAGAGGGUGAUCGGCCACACUGGAACUGAGACACGGUCCAGACUCCUACGGGAGGCAGCAGUAGGGAAUCUUCCGCAAUGGGCUAAAGCCUGACGGAGCAACGCCGCGUGAGUGAUGAAGGUCUUCGGAUCGUAAAACUCUGUUAUUAGGGAAGAACAUAUGUGUAAGUAACUGUGCACAUCUUGACGGUACCUAAUCAGAAAGCCACGGCUAACUACGUG
rnacentral:rRNA from 1 species